rnacentral:misc_RNA from 1 species
GAUGAAGAACGUAGCGAAAUGCGAUAAGUAAUGUGAAUUGCAGAAUUCAGUGAAUCAUCGAAUCUUUGAACGCACAUUGCGCCCCUUGGUAUUCCGAGGGGCAUGCCUGCUCGAGCGUCAUUAUAACCCCUCAAGCUCAGCUUGGUGUUGGGGCCUGCUGCACUGGCAGCCCUUAAAAUCAGUGGCGGCGCCAUCUGGCUCUAAGCGUAGUAAUUCUUCUCGCUAUGGAGUCCUGGUGGAUGCUUGCCAUCAACCCCCAAUUUUUCUAUGGUUGACCGCGGAUCAGGUAGGGAUACCCGCUGAACUUAAGCAUAUCAAUAAGCGGAGGA